rnacentral:misc_RNA from 1 species
UAUGGGUGGACCAGCUGUAUCGUCUGAAAACGAUACACUAUGGAGGAGUUGGGUUCCUGAUAAGGAUUACUUGACACAGCCGGAUUUUGCAAAGUCCUUGUCGAAGAUUGGAUCUGUAAAGUAUUUAGCGGGUGGAGCAACGUCGGAUAUAGCACCACCGAGUGUUUAUGGUACUUGUACUAAGAUGAAUGUGGAUGGUGCUGGUAAUGAUGCUAGUGCUAAUUUUAAUGUGACGUGGGUGUUCAAUGUGGAUGUUGGUUUCCAGUAUUUCAUUCGAUUACAUUUGUGUGAUAUUGUGAGUACAGCUGCUAAUCAGCUGUUGUUUAAUAUGUAUGUUGAUUCGUCGAAUAUAGCUUCUGAUUUUGAUCUGAGUUCUAAAGUUCAGAGCAGAUUGGCUACCGCGUAUUACAUGGAUUUG